rnacentral:rRNA from 1 species
GUAGUCCACGCUGUAAACGAUGAUAACUCGUUGUCGGCGAUACACAGUCGGUGACCAAGCGAAAGCGAUAAGUUAUCCACCUGGGGAGUACGUUCGCAAGAAUGAAACUCAAAGGAAUUGACGGGGGCCCGCACAAGCGGAGGAACAUGUGGUUUAAUUCGAUGAUACGCGAGGAACCUUACCCGGGCUUGAAAGUUAGUGACCGGUCCAGAAAUGGGCCUUCUCUUCGGAGCACGAAACUAGGUGCUGCAUGGUUGUCGUCAGCUCGUGCCGUGAGGUGUCGGGUUAAGUCCCAUAACGAGCGCAACCCCUGUUCUUAGUUGCCAGCAUGUCAUGAUGGGGACUCUAAGAAGACUGCCGGUGUAAACCGCGA